rnacentral:rRNA from 1 species
GCAGUCGAGCGGUAGCACAGAGAGCUUGCUCUCGGGUGACGAGCGGCGGACGGGUGAGUAAUGUCUGGGAAACUGCCUGAUGGAGGGGGAUAACUACUGGAAACGGUAGCUAAUACCGCAUAACGUCGCAAGACCAAAGUGGGGGACCUUCGGGCCUCAUGCCAUCAGAUGUGCCCAGAUGGGAUUAGCUGGUAGGUGGGGUAACGGCUCACCUAGGCGACGAUCCCUAGCUGGUCUGAGAGGAUGACCAGCCACACUGGAACUGAGACACGGUCCAGACUCCUACGGGAGGCAGCAGUGGGGAAUAUUGCACAAUGGGCGCAAGCCUGAUGCAGCCAUGCCGCGUGUGUGAAGAAGGCCUUCGGGUUGUAAAGCACUUUCAGCGGGGAGGAAGGCGGUGAGGUUAAUAACCUUGUCGAUUGACGUUACCCGCAGAAGAAGCACCGGCUAACUCCGUGCCAGCAGCCGCGGUAAUACGGAGGGUGCAAGCGUUAAUCGGAAUUACUGGGCGUAAAGCGCACGCAGGCGGUCUGUCAAGUCGGAUGUGAAAUCCCCGGGCUCAACCUGGGAACUGCAUUCGAAACUGGCAGGCUAGAGUCUUGUAGAGGGGGGUAGAAUUCCAGGUGUAGCGGUGAAAUGCGUAGAGAUCUGGAGGAAUACCGGUGGCGAAGGCGGCCCCCUGGACAAAGACUGACGCUCAGGUGCGAAAGCGUGGGGAGCAAACAGGAUUAGAUACCCUGGUAGUCCACGCUGUAAACGAUGUCGAUUUGGAGGUUGUGCCCUUGAGGCGUGGCUUCCGGAGCUAACGCGUUAAAUCGACCGCCUGGGGAGUACGGCCGCAAGGUUAAAACUCAAAUGAAUUGACGGGGGCCCGCACAAGCGGUGGAGCAUGUGGUUUAAUUCGAUGCAACGCGAAGAACCUUACCUGGUCUUGACAUCCACAGAACUUUCCAGAGAUGGAUUGGUGCCUUCGGGAACUGUGAGACAGGUGCUGCAUGGCUGUCGUCAGCUCGUGUUGUGAAAUGUUGGGUUAAGUCCCGCAACGAGCGCAACCCUUAUCCUUUGUUGCCAGCGGUCCGGCCGGGAACUCAAAGGAGACUGCCAGUGAUAAACUGGAGGAAGGUGGGGAUGACGUCAAGUCAUCAUGGCCCUUACGACCAGGGCUACACACGUGCUACAAUGGCAUAUACAAAGAGAAGCGACCUCGCGAGAGCAAGCGGACCUCAUAAAGUAUGUCGUAGUCCGGAUUGGAGUCUGCAACUCGACUCCAUGAAGUCGGAAUCGCUAGUAAUCGUAGAUCAGAAUGCUACGGUGAAUACGUUCCCGGGCCUUGUACACACCGCCCGUCACACCAUGGGAGUGGGUUGCAAAAGAAGUAGGUAGCUUAACCUUCGGGAGGGCGCU